CCUGAUGGGCACACUCAUGCAGACUGAGUGUGCUGUUGAUUUUCUCCGUUGUUUCUGCAAAUUGAAACGCCGGCUAUACUUUUUUCCCCCAUAAAGAGUACCCCCAUCUGGUUCUUCACCCAAAGAAGAAAAACAAGAAGGAGAAAUUAGUUUGUAAUGGUUUCACAAGCAGAUUUGCAUGGAUGGCGCAGGAUCAAAGCAGCUGGUGAAGAGGAUUCCUCUGCUGUGAAUAUGGACACAACACACAGCACACCCACUCCUGUGUGUUGUGUGUGCCCCUGUUCAUGCUGAGUAGUGGUGUGGAUGGUGAAACCGUCAAACAUCCAUUAAAAAGAGUGAUAUGCUUUGACCAGAGGGAAGUUGGACCAGGUUGAAACCUUCUUUUACCUGAGGAGAAAUCAGAAGAGAAAAACUAAAGACAGGAACAGCGUGCAUAGCCCAG